AGGUCCUGCCUGCCCUGUGACUCUAUGUUUAACGGCCGCGGUAUUUUAACCGUGCAAAGGUAGCGCAAUCACUUGUCCCUUAAAUAGAGACCCGUAUGAAUGGCAUAACGAGAGCUAAGCUGUCUCCUUUUCCCAGUCAAUGAAAUUGAUUUCCYCGUGCAGAAGCGGGGAUAAAACCGUAAGACGAGAAGACCCUAUGGAGCUUUCAGACAAAGGACAGAUUAUGUCAAAUAACCCCUAAUAAGGAAUUAAACCAAAUAAUUUCUGUCCCUAUCUUUGGUUGGGGCGACCGCGGGGAAACAACCAACCCCCACGUGGAACAAGUUUAUUUCCACUUUAAAGCUAGAGCCACAGCUCUAAUAAACAGAACAUCUGACCACACAAGAUCCGGCACUGCCGAUCAACGGAACGAGUUACCCUAGGGAUAACAGCGCAAUCCCCUUCUAGAGCCCAUAUCGACAAGGGGGUUUACGACCUCGAUGUUGGAUCAGGACAUCCUAAUGGUGUAACCGCUAUUAAAGGUUCGUUUGUUCAACGAUUAAAGUCCU
rnacentral:rRNA from 1 species